GCGGGCGUGAUGGAAUGGUAGACAUACCAGACUUAAAAUCUGGAGGCCGUAUGGCCGUGUGGGUUCGAGUCCCACCGCCCGCACCA
rnacentral:tRNA from 3 species